rnacentral:rRNA from 1 species
UAAGGGAUCUUCGGCAAUGGGGGAAACCCUGACCGAGCAACGCCGCGUGGAGGAUGAAGUCCUUCGGGACGUAAACUCCUUUCGAUCGGGACGAUUAUGACGGUACCGGAAGAAGAAGCCCCGGCUAACUUCGUGCCAGCAGCCGCGGUAAUACGAGGGGGGCGAGCGUUGUUCGGAAUUAUUGGGCGUAAAGGGUGCGUAGGCGGUUUGGUAAGUCUUGUGUGAAAUCUAUGGGCUCAACUCAUAGUCUGCACGAGAAACUGCCGGGCUUGAGUGUGGGAGAGGUGAGUGGAAUUUCCGGUGUAGCGGUGAGAUGCGUAGAUAUCGGAAGGAACACCUGUGGCGAAAGCGGCUCACUGGACCACAACUGACGCUGAUGCACGAAAGCUAGGGGAGCAAACAGGAUUAGAUACCCUAGUAGUCCUAGCCCUAAACGAUGACUGCUUGGUGUGACGGGUACCCAAUCCCGCCGUGCCGUAGCUAACGCGUUAAGCAGUCCGCCUGGGGAGUACGGUCGCAAGGCUG